rnacentral:lncRNA from 1 species
AAGAAUAUAGCAAUAAAUCCACAAUAAGUAAUCUUUUCAUGCUACAUGGGUAGGGGAGUUCUCUAGGUCCGUGACUCACUCUCCCACUCAAUCCACUAACGCCCUCGUAGUGGAUGUGCGUUUCGCCUCUUCGUGCUUUGCAUAUUCCCUCCAAGUUAGUGGGUCCGAAAAUUUCUCCACAAUUGCAACAGUAUCCCCAUGAUGUGGGAGCGUCCACAAUGCCCUCGACACCCCUCCCCGUAGUACCUCGUACAUGCCGCCUUCACCCUAUGCACCUCUGCAUUAGUUCUUAAGCGGACGGCUCUUCUGACCAUUGCGUCAUCACGCAUGUCUAAGUAUAUCCACAAAUGUCCCCAUUAUUCAAUUUCCAUAGUAAUGCCUUGGUCAUGCCCUUGCGAAACAAACAUUCAUGUAGUCGGCAAAAUUGCAUAACGC